rnacentral:rRNA from 1 species
UACAGAGGUCUCAAGCGUUGUUCGGAUUUAUUGGGCGUAAAGGGCGCGUAGGCGGCGGGGUAAGUCGGGUGUGAAAUCUCAGGGCUCAACCCUGAAACUGCACUUGAUACUGCUCUGCUUGAGGACUGGAGAGGAGACUGGAAUUCACGGUGUAGCAGUGAAAUGCGUAGAUAUCGUGAGGAAGACCAGUGGCGAAGGCGGGUCUCUGGACAGUUCCUGACGCUGAGGCGCGAAAGCUAGGGGAGCAAACGGG